rnacentral:rRNA from 1 species
UACGUAGGGGGCAAGCGUUGUCCGGAUUUAUUGGGCGUAAAGAGCGUGUAGGCGGCCUGACAGGUCUGCUGUGAAAACUCGAGGCUCGAACCUCGAGAUGUCGGCGGAAACCGUCUGGCUAGAGUCCGGAAGAGGAGAGUGGAAUUCCUGGUGUAGCGGUGAAAUGCGCAGAUAUCAGGAAGAACACCUAUGGCGAAGGCAGCUCUCGUGGGACGGUACUGACGCUGAGACGCGAAAGCGUGGGGAGCGAACAGGAUUAGAACCCGUACCGA